AGAGUUUGAUCCUGGCUCAGAUUGAACGCUGGCGGUAUGCUUAACACAUGCAAGUCGAACGGUAACAGGCAAAGCUUGCUUUGCGCUGACGAGUGGCGGACGGGUGAGUAACGCGUGAGAAUCUGCCUACUAGCGGGGGAUAGCCCGGUGAAAACCGGAUUAAUACCGCAUACGCCCUACGGGGGAAAGCUUGGGAUCUUCGGACCUGGCACUAGUAGAUGAGCUCGCGUGAGAUUAGCUUGUUGGUGGGGUAAUGGCCUACCAAGGCAACGAUCUCUAGCUGGUCUGAGAGGACGAUCAGCCACACUGGAACUGAGACACGGCCCAGACUCCUACGGGAGGCAGCAGUGGGGAAUCUUGGACAAUGGGGGAAACCCUGAUCCAGCCAUGCCGCGUGAAUGAUGAAGGCCUUAGGGUUGUAAAAUUCUUUCGAUGGUGAAGAUAAUGACGGUAACCAUUAAAGAAGCCCCGGCUAACUCCGUGCCAGCAGCCGCGGUAAUACAGAGGGUGCGAGCGUUAAUCGGAAUUACUGGGCGUAAAGCGCGCGUAGGCGGCUGAUUAAGUCAGAUGUGAAAUCCCCGGGCUCAACCUGGGAACUGCAUCUGAUACUGGUCAGCUAGAGUUUAGGAGAGGGAAGUAGAAUUUCAGGUGUAGCGGUGAAAUGCAUAGAGAUCUGAAGGAAUACCAGUGGCGAAGGCGACUUCCUGGCCUAGAACUGACGCUGAGGUGCGAAAGCGUGGGUAGCAAACGGGAUUAGAUACCCCGGUAGUCCACGCCGUAAACGAUGUCAACUAGUCGUUGGACCCCUUGAGGGUUUAGUGACGCAGCUAACGCAUUAAGUUGACCGCCUGGGGAGUACGUCGCAAGACUAAAACUCAAAGGGANUUGCUG
rnacentral:rRNA from 1 species